rnacentral:rRNA from 3 species
CACACCCGUUCCCAUACCGAACACGGAAGUUAAGCUUCUCAGCGCCGAUGGUAGUUGGGACUUUGUCCCUGUGAGAGUAGGACGUUGCCAGGC